rnacentral:rRNA from 1 species
AGCAGUAGCCGCGGUAAUACGAAGGGUGCAAGCGUUACUCGGAAUUACUGGGCGUAAAGCGUGCGUAGGUGGUGGUUUAAGUCCGUUGUGAAAGCCCUGGGCUCAACCUGGGAAUUGCAGUGAUACUGGGUCACUAGAGUGUGGUAGAGGAUAGUGGAAUUUCCGGUGUAGCAGUGAAAUGCGUAGAGAUCGGAAGGAACAUCUGUGGCGAAGGCGACUAUCUGGGCCAACACUGACACUGAGGCACGAAAGCGUGGGGAGCAAACAGGAUUAGAUACCCGUGUAGUCCCUGUCUCUUAUACA